UCCGGUUUGUCACCGGCAGUCUCCCUAGAGUGCCCUUGCGUAGCAACUGGGGACAAGGGUUGCGCUCGUUGCGGGACUUAACCCAACAUCUCACGACACGAGCUGACGACAGUCAUGCAGCACCUGUGUUACGGUUCCCUUUCGGGCACCAAGCCAUCUCUGGCGAGUUCCGUACAUGUCAAAGGUAGGUAAGGUUUUUCGCGUUGCAUCGAAUUAAACCACAUCAUCCACUGCUUGUGCGGGUCCCCGUCAAUUCCUUUGAGUUUCAGUCUUGCGACCGUACUCCCCAGGCGGAAUGCUUAAAGCGUUAGCUGCGCCACUAGUGAGUAAACCCACUAACGGCUGGCAUUCAUCGUUUACGGCGUGGACUAC
rnacentral:misc_RNA from 1 species